CAAUUAACGUUACCAAACCAAUCAAAAUACAUGCACAUGCAACAAUGUAGAGGCAAGCAUUUCCAAAACUGUAACGUUAGCCAAGAGCGAGUGCACCUUCCUCACACUGAGCCCUGCCUUCAGACGCAGGUCAGAGGGCAGGGUGACUGGCAGGGCUCUGUCUGACCCAGAGACUCCACAGGACAGCUCGCCAUCGAGGGGGCUUGAACUCGUGUUCACUCUGCUGGACUGCUGUCUUACAAGUACUCCUGCAUUUGACAUCCUGAGGGAACUGAUGGCAAAGAGGAGGAGAGCGGGGUGCAGCCUGAGGAAUCGACCGUGAAAAUAAACGGGAGACACAGUUUUCCAGCGCACUGCCUACCCAGCGUGAAAGAGAGAUAGUGACAGUGAUAACGAAGCAGACCCUCUCAUCUCGUCUUCAUGGGCCAGCCCUCCAGCAGCUAUUUGUCACAAGCAGAUGUUUCAGAGAACGGUGACCUCCAAGUGUGGUUGCUGGGGAAUGGGGAGCUUGGCGCCAGUUCUGAUUGGAAACCUGCAGAGCAGAGGCGACAUGGUCAAGGGUUUUAAUGAAGAUUUUGAGGCUGGAGCUGAUGACGAGUCUAUUUCCCUGGACUUGAUUCAGCUGUCUCUCCAUCUGGCGAUGAAGUACCUGGGCUGCCCUGUGGCCAGAACUACUGUCAGCUCCGUGACGCCUGCCAUGAAAUAUUCACUAUACCAUGAGUCAUGAACAGACUGCAGGGAGAGCUACGCUUGACUGUCCUGUUCCCCGAUCGGACCUGGCUAAGAGGAGCUGCUGUUCACUUUGAUCCUAUGCUAGGGCUCCUGACUAAUAGCUGUCUUUCCCCCUGCCAGGCUGGUGCACAUACACAACUCUUUUCAGUCAUACUAAGCUGCCUUCGACUCUCUAUCACACUGUAACAUUUCCUAGUUCUUACCUUGUGUUAGUCCAGAUUAGGUGAAACAAACAAUGCUAUACUGUAGACAGCUAAAGAGAAACAGCUUCGAGCACCUCCAUUUUCAUGGAAGCAACAGCGCAUUAGCCUUGAUAUCUUGUUUCUGUACAACUCAUCUUGCGAGCAUUUGCUAAAGAGGCGCCCAAGGAGCUGUUGAUGAUUAGUGGCAGAGCACCUACAGUAUAUGAGAGGCGUGAUUUUGGUUCUUGGUCGUAAAGAGACCAUAAAUUAACAGAAACAAAGAAUAUCAUCCCCCUCAGCAGCAGUUAUUAAUCUCACUUUGGGCUUUUUAACUCUGGAGCCGGCUAGCAGCAUGUUCUGAAGUCAGCCGGCAUUUGCCUGGCCAUUUAUUCAUUAGGGAGCCCUAAAGAGCAUCGGCGGACACCUCAAUUGCUGCUGGAAAAAAAAAAAGUCUCUUAUGUUUUGCCGCACAUUAAAUACAGUUCCAAGUGGCACUUGAGUUGUACAUAUUUGCUAUUCACAGCAGGACCACUAUAUCAACAAACACAAGCUGUUUUUGAUUGACAGUGCAGUUAAAUUUUCUUUUUAGUAGUGGACCGUGUUUGUUAAUGAUUUUGAUAAGACUUGAAUACUUACUAAUACUAUGCACCACUGAGGCAACAUUUAGUGCAAAAAUAUAUCUACUCCACCUGCCAAGGAAACAAAGCGCCCUUUCUUCCUUUCUCUCAGUCUCUACAACUGCGUAAUUGGACUCUACACAUCUGCUCUUUUACUCAUCAUGUCCAAACGAUGUCCUACUUUCUCAGACAAAAGCACUCUUAAAGAUUUAGAUCCAAGAGGCUUUCCUCAAAACCAGAAGCUGACUGUCAAAAAAGCCUGGCUUUGAUUUUGUCCAACCUCAAGUUAAGGUAGUCGUUAGUCUGUAAGGCCUGCUCAGAGUAUUAAUAAGGGCACAGUUCAUCCACCCUCACAAAAAGUUUUCAGUAGGAUGAACCCUCAAAUCAGUGUGAGGAGAAAGACCUUCAGUAACACGCAGGACUGCCUGGAGGCGUCACAAACAGUGCAUUAGGUGUCCAAAAUAGUAGUCUAAUGAGAUACAUUAAGGCCAGAGUCAACGUCCUUCAGUGUCUUAUACAAAAACAUGUCCUCUGCCUUGUGAGUUCCUACUGGUGAACUGGUUGUAAAGUGUUUGAGGACAAGCAGCAUUUUUACUUGGUACAGUUUCUCACUUGGCAACACUAAUCUGUUCAUAUGUGGUUAUUUCUGCAUUUGUUGAGUGCCGUGAAAGUGACCUUUCCUUUAUAGUAAGUACCAGUAUUUUUUUAUCUUUCGCCUGAGAUUGUCAGGAAAGAAAACGUUUUUAAGAAAUGACAGGAACUGUUCAGCUACCUUGAAAGACAAAACUUUUAAAGAGCGUUGUGUCCUUGCUUUUCAAAAAAAUCUUUUUUACCCACUAGACCCGUUCUGUUCUUGUGACUGGGCGAGUAAGUGGCUGAUAUUGACUUUGGAACAAAAAUGUCAAUGAAGCCUGAAACACAAUGCUUUG